AGAGAAUUCUGAAUAACUGAAGAAAGGAUCCUGGUGAGCUGUUCCUAGGAGAUUUGCUGAUGCCCAGGGCUUAUCUGUGCCUUCUUUCUCUGGCGUUUGGGUAACUUAUGUCUGUGUGGCUUCAAGGCUUUGAUUCUGUCUUUAUCUCCAACAAGUCUGCCAAGGUCACCUGCUAUGGGUUUCUUCGUGUGCUACCAAAAAAAGAUAUGUCGAAGUUCUUAAACCUAGUACUUCGAAACGUUGCCUUAUUUGAAAACAUAUCUUUACAAAGCACUAUCCACAGUAGUCAAGAUUUAGAAGCAGCGUAAGUGUCCAUCAGCAGACAAAUCGAUAAAGAAAAUGUGAUACUGAUACAAUGG